GAACUCAAUUAAAAUAAAAUGUCUUUGAAAUAUUUGUAGUAGUGGCGCUGACUUAUAAUCAACAUUUUUUAACAAUAUUAAUUUGUUACUAAUUGAUUUUGAUUAUAAUUAUGUGAUAGCUAUAAUACAACCAAUUUCUGGACUGAAAUAAUCAAGUGCUACGCCCUUGACAUUUAGAUACGUUUGAUAUUUGCGAAACACGUUUUAUUCCUGUUAUUGUUUUGAUCCGAUAUCGUUAUGAUAAAAGCUUAUUGAGAUAUCGGAUAAGCGACUUCUGCCGCGAUCAAUGCAAGCUGCAAUUGCACUAAAGACCAUCGUUCUCAAGGACGAAUUGCGAAAUAAUAAUGUCAUCGCAAUCACGAUGAUCGCGCGCAUCAAGAUCGAGAGCACUCUAGAUUACUUUGUAAAAUUGACGUAAUUGAGUAAUCAAAAUGUAGGUAAACAAUGUUUCGAUGAGAUUGCAAUUACGAUAAUCAUCUUUUGAAAUGAGGAAAAUGUAUAUGCUGCAUUUGAAAGAAAAUAUUAUGCUUUUUUGCGUCAACAACUACGUAUCAGUUUUGAAGAGAUCGUCGCUCAUUUUAAGGAAUAUCUUUCACUGUUAUCGUCGAUGAAGCACAAAAUAUAAUUUUAUCGUUUAUCUACCACGCAUACUUGCGCCACAAGCCAACUCGUCUCGCAUCUCUUCUCCUUUUCGUCGCGUCUUGCGGCAACAGGUUCCACAACAUGAAGCAUGCUGAAAUGAAGACAUCCAGACUGAGGCUGGUACGAUAAUGAUUUUAACGAUUUCUUCUAGCGUUCGUCGGACGAGCAUAGGAAGGAAUUAGACUUUUUACAAACUUCAAACUUUUUUGAGUAUACAUUUAUCGAGCAGUAAUAAAAAGCAGUGAAAUGUAAUUUAAAAGUGACGUUAAGUGCGGAAGAGAAAUUAUUAUAUUACGACGAGAGUAAAGAGGAUCGAAAGAAGAGGCGAAUUCUCACUACUUUCAUCAAGAAGAAAAAAAUGGAAACUAGCUGAUAAGAUAGAAGACGGGUGACGCACUACAUAUGAUAUGAAUUGCGGAAAAUAAGUCUCCCUUUUUUAUUUUUUAAUCAUGAGAACAUCAUCCACAAGAUAAAAUUGCUCAAACGGAGUCGUUCUAGUAUUCCUUAUUUAAGGAAUAUGAUAUUGUAUUACUCUAACUUCAUUUUAACAGCGUGCAGUAUUACAAUCUUCACGUUGUGUCUAAUUUGUUUCCAUUGGAUAAAUUAAAAAAAUUGUUAGGAAUUCCAUCGAAAUCUGCACAUAUGCAUGUAUUUGAUUUUUAUUCGUGCAUUAACGUCGACGUAUACAUAUGUAACACAUCGUACAGCUUCAGGUCGUGUCCGAAGGAACAUAUUAAGUCUCGCGGACGCGCGUAUGCACCGGCGUUGCUCAACGCUGCGGACGCGGCGCGGCGUAGCGGUAUAUGCGUCCGACGGGUAGCCGAUUUCGCGGCGCGAAAAAGCAAUGUAGGAACGUAGCCUGUGUACGGACCGUUGCGAGAGAGGGACAGACGGAGAGGAGAGGAUGGCGACCGCGUGGGAUACGGGUGAGAAGGGAGCGCGAGGAUGGCAAGCGAGUCCGUCGUGACCGAAGCGCACCGCGAGAGGUCGGUCAUGUUCGCCGUGUGACGUCAUGAGGCAAUGGCGCCGCCUCCGUGGCGAGCGAGCCGGCCGAUUGGUUGCUGGAAAUGAUGGCAGGCAUGCUUGCCAAUCGAUUGCCCGCGGUGCGUGCGAAGCGCAGUACAUCGGUCCGAUAUGAGCCCCACUCUACUUCGUCGUAGGGUUGAUGGAGAGGGGGCGCGCUUCAUCGGGAGAAGGGGUACGGCCGCCUUCGGCAGGAAGUGAGCUCCCGACCCCGCGGCGUGAAAUAGAAUUCAGACGGUUUCGUUCUCUCGUGGAGAGUGGAAGUUGUUUCAUUUCUUCUGCAUUGAACUGUAUAUUCUUCGUCGUCGUUGACGAGCGGGAACGGAGCGAUAUAAGCGAAAACAAAAGCAACGUCAUCGCUUUCAGCCGGUACGUGGUUGCGGUUCGAAAGCCCUUGCGCAGGGGGUCGACAGUUUCCUCGUUGACACGGAUAAGUGCAUACGCGGGUGAAAAACCAAAGACAGAAACAGUGUUCGUAAACUUGACCGGGCCGUUGAUUUUCGCCGUUGAUCCGUUCUCCGCUUACGCUACUUGUGCCGCAGAUACGACACGCCGUUUAGGGAGUGCCAUCGUUUUAUUUCGAAAGAGACCGCCGCUCCAUAGCACUCGCGUUUAGUUGGCGCGUCGUUGCCGCAUCGUCGUGACGCGAUUCGUCGAGCUUAGUGUGGUCCGCAGCCAGUCAGAGUGGUUGGCGAAUGGUACGGAGUGGUGAGAGACUAACAGUGAGGGGAAGAAAGUGACAGUGCAGUCAGUUCUCUCACGGACUCUGUGACUCAAGGAUCGUUCGAGGUUCGCUCCGGUGAUUUUUAUUGGAAAGGAAAUCGGGGGGGGAAAAAAAGAGAAACGGAUGAACGCACGUAUCGCAAAACGACGUGUGGAGGACUAUAGUAUACCGAUGACUAUGGUAUACCGAUAGUAUGACGAUCGCGAGUGUUGUUCCUCGCCGAGACCGUGUUCGCGUGGAGUUGGUUGCCUCAUGAACGGUAUUCGGCAUUCGUUUUCGGCGACUGGAGCCGGAGUCGUUGUUGCGCAAAACGAGGAUUGAUCACAAUACGUAGAUCGUAACAGCACGGAAUGGUCGUUCGUGCCACAUCAUCGAUCGUGUGAUCGAAUCGAUCAUCGUACGCCGGUGAUCAGGAGACGUGCCACUUAGCGUUCGUACGGAGUGUCUUAGUAGUGAUUAUUACCGGUGACUUGGAUAAUUCGCGAUCGACUUUUAUGUCGCAUUACUCCGCACGCGAAGGUGAAAAACAUUAAGGAGUUAACCGGGUGAUCGGAGCUUGUACGACGGGUCAACCCCGCGUUGACCUGAAAUUGACAUUUCAAGCGUAUUUCCCGUUUGAUUUUCUUGACACUCGAACAGUACCAGAAAAGAGCAGCAAACUGUACGGGCACAGGCAGGAAGAGAUGCACACGAUGGAGACGGACAUGAAGGGCGGCAGUCUGCAUGCUCAGAUGCCACCGCAUCCGCAUCAGGGUGUAUCGCCGAUGGGCCACCAUACGGGGAUGUCCCCUUACGGAUCUAUAGGAUCGAUAGUUCAUAGCUCCGGACUGUCGGGAAGUCCACCCGGCGCGGGUGGCCUGGGACUUGGUCUUCAACAUCACCAUCAGACCUCGCAGCAUCAUUACGCGUCCAUGCAGGUGGCCGUCGCUGCCGCGGCCGCCCAGCAGCAGCAACAACAGCAACAGAGCAUGCACGCAAUGGCGGCCCAGCAGAACGCUCAGCAGCAACAGCACCAUCCUCACCAACAGUCGCAGCAGCAGCAACAGCAAUCGCAUCAUCAGGCUAACAAUCACAGCAAUCCAAACAACCCGAACAACCCGAGCAAUUCCGCCAAUGCCAAGAAUAACAACGUGGACCGGGUGAAGAGGCCGAUGAACGCCUUCAUGGUGUGGUCGCGUGGACAACGUCGCAAGAUGGCCCAAGACAAUCCUAAAAUGCACAAUUCCGAGAUAUCAAAGCGCCUCGGUGCCGAGUGGAAACUCCUCAGCGAGACGGAGAAGCGCCCGUUUAUCGACGAGGCGAAACGGCUGCGCGCGGUGCACAUGAAGGAGCACCCCGAUUACAAGUACCGGCCGCGCCGCAAAACAAAGACGCUAAUAAAGAAGGACAAGUUCCAGCUUGGCGGAAGUGUCGCUGGUGUCGGCGGUAUGCUUAGCGUCGAUCAACGGCAGGUCGGGACGAGCGGCGGACCGCAGCAGCCGCAGUUACCGCGUGACGUGUAUCAGAUGCCCAACGGCUACAUGCCCAACGGUUACAUGAUGCACGAUCCGGCGACCGCGUAUCAGCAGCACGUAGCGUACGGCAGUCACAUGGGUGGUGCGGCGGCCGCCUCGGCCGUCGCUUAUCCCAGGUACGAUUCUAUGGGCCAUCAUAUGGGCGGCGGGAGUCCCAGUCCGAUCAACAGCUACAUGAACGGCUACGGUGGAUACGGCGGUACCACCGCCGUACCCGGCGGCUCGCCAUCCCCUUACCACCAGGCCCAACCGGGUUCCCAAUUGUCCAGCCAUAGUCCUAGUGGCAGCAGCAUAAAGUCCGAGCCGACGAGUCCGGCGAGCGGCGGCGGUAUACACACGCCGACGCCGACGGGCGGCCCGACGACGACGGGAGCGGCCGGGCCUGCCGGCCAGGCGGUCAAGCGGGAGUACAUGGGUCAGCAGCAGACGCAACAAACGCAGGGCGAUCUCCGGCAGAUGAUCUCGAUGUACCUGCCGCAGGGCGUCGAACAGGGAGUCGUGCAACACGGCAGCGUCUAUUCCCCGGGUCCGUCGCCCGACCCCUUGGCGCAGCAUCACGCGGCCAUGCAGCCGAUUGCGCACAUGUCAGAUAGCGAUCGUAAAAUGUUGAACCCGGAGACCGGAUGCUACUCCGAAUCCGUACGAGCAUGGGAUUGGAACGCGACGGGCAACGUACGCGUGCAGGAAUCCUGGCCGACGUGAACGACUCUCGCCGCGACAAUGUCGAACCAUUCCACCACCGAAGGAUCAGGCUCCUUGAUUGUUUCGCGCGCUACGGUAUCAGUGGUUGGAGAAAACACGUUACGUGACUCUGAGACGUGACUCGAGAUCGUGAAGAAUAUUCUUAAAUGAAAAUUAGAACGAUACUUUGCAUUUAUAUAUAUUGUUAGAGAUCAUGAGAUUUCCACCUACUUUUGAGGAGCACAUGAUAAUUGUUAUUAUUAUAGUUACGUGUAAGAUCGCGCGCAAUUAUCGUUACUCAGCAUCGUCAAUUAUCAUUAUCGCACCUGCAAUAAGUGUAGGGCGUUUGAAUAAUUCAUGCCGUUCGCUUGAAAGCAUUUGAGCGCGCUGUUCUCUUUUUUGGUAGAUCGGUAUGCAUAAAUAAGAGAAAGUUUCUAGAAAUACGAGAAUCCAGAUAACUCUGUCCUCCGUCAUAAAUCACAUUUACGUCACAUUUAUAAACGCUAAUUGCAUAAUUCUAUCAAUUCACGACUACUCUUUAACCAAAUGAAAUUUACUUUUAUAAAAUAAAUAUAAAUUAUAUUUAAGAUAAGCGAUUGUACAUAUGUUUAAGUUUUAAAAUAACUGCAAAAUAACAAGUAUCC
rnacentral:misc_RNA from 1 species